rnacentral:rRNA from 1 species
UGCAGUCGAGCGAUCGAUGGGAGCUUGCUCCCUGAGAUUAGCGGCGGACGGGUGAGUAACACGUGGGCAACCUGCCUAUAAGACUGGGAUAACUUCGGGAAACCGGAGCUAAUACCGGAUACGUUCUUUUCUCGCAUGAGAGAAGAUGGAAAGACGGUUUUGCUGUCACUUAUAGAUGGGCCCGCGGCGCAUUAGCUAGUUGGUGAGGUAAUGGCUCACCAAGGCGACGAUGCGUAGCCGACCUGAGAGGGUGAUCGGCCACACUGGGACUGAGACACGGCCCAGACUCCUACGGGAGGCAGCAGUAGGGAAUCUUCCGCAAUGGACGAAAGUCUGACGGAGCAACGCCGCGUGAACGAAGAAGGCCUUCGGGUCGUAAAGUUCUGUUGUUAGGGAAGAACAAGUACCAGAGUAACUGCUGGUACCUUGACGGUACCUAACCAGAAAGCCACGGCUAACUACGUGCCAGCAGCCGCGGUAAUACGUAGGUGGCAAGCGUUGUCCGGAAUUAUUGGGCGUAAAGCGCGCGCAGGUGGUUCCUUAAGUCUGAUGUGAAAGCCCACGGCUCAACCGUGGAGGGUCAUUGGAAACUGGGGAACUUGAGUGCAGAAGAGGAAAGUGGAAUUCCAAGUGUAGCGGUGAAAUGCGUAGAGAUUUGGAGGAACACCAGUGGCGAAGGCGACUUUCUGGUCUGUAACUGACACUGAGGCGCGA